rnacentral:rRNA from 1 species
UACGUAGGGGGCUAGCGUUGUCCGGAUUUAUUGGGCGUAAAGAGCGUGUAGGCGGCCAUGUAGGUCCGGUGUGAAAACUCGAGGCUUAACCUCGAGAUGUCAUCGGAAACCAUUUGGCUAGAGUCCGGAAGAGGAGAGUGGAAUUCCUGGUGUAGCGGUGAAAUGCGUAGAUAUCGUAAGGAAGACCAGUGGCGAAGGCGAAUCUCUGGACAGUUACUGACACUGAGGCACGAAGGCCAGGGGAGCAAACGGG